rnacentral:rRNA from 1 species
UACAGAGGCCUCGAGCGUUAGGCGGAAUCACUGGGCUUAAAGCGUGUGUAGGCGGACUGGUAAGUACCUUGUGAAAUCCCACAGCUUAACUGUGGAACUGCUCGGUAUACUGCUGGUCUUGAGCCACUCAGGGGCUACCGGAACAAAUGGUGGAGCGGUGAAAUGCGUAGAUAUCAUUUGGAACGCCAAGUGGUGAAAACAGGUAGCUGGGGGUGUGCUGACGCUGAGACACGAAAGCCAGGGGAGCAAACGGG